GCGGAAGUAGCUCAAUGGUAGAGUCUUGCCUUGCCAAGGCAAAGGUUGAGGGUUCAAUCCCCUUUUUCCGCU
rfam:Amborella trichopoda AMTR_V1.0_contig_37485, whole genome shotgun sequence.